ACUCAAAUGAAUUGACGGGGACUUGCACAAGCAGUGGAUUAUGCGGUUUAAUUCGAUGACAAACGAAAAACCUUACCAAGGUUAGAAAUCUACGUGAAGGCGAGUAGAAAUAUUCGUCGUCCGCAAGGACUCGUAGACAGGUGAUGCAUGGCCGUCGUCAGUUCGUGAUUUGAAUUGUUCCCUUAAGUGGGGUAACGAACGCAACCCUCGUUGCCAGUUACAAGUGUCUGGCGAGACUGCCCCCGUUUGUGUGCGCGAGCGAAAGUUCGUUUAUACAAACGGGGGAGGAAGGCGAGGAUGACGCCAGGUCAGCAUGUCCCUCUGAUACCUUGGGCCACACGCAUAAUACAAUCGCACAUACAACGGGUCGCGACGGGGUAACCCUGAGCCAAUCCUUAGAAAGUGUGCGUCAGUUCGGAUUGGGGGCUGCAACUCGACCCCAUGAAGCCGGAAUUGCUAGUAAUCGCGGGUCAGCUAUACCGCGGUGAAUACGUUCUCAAGUCUUGUACACACCGCCCGU
rnacentral:rRNA from 1 species